rnacentral:rRNA from 1 species
GGGUUGUGAGGUUAAGCGACUAAGCGUACACGGUGGAUGCCCUGGCAGUCAGAGGCGAUGAAGGACGUGCUAAUCUGCGAAAAGCGCCGGCGAGGUGAUAUGAACCCUUGACCCGGCGAUGUCCGAAUGGGGAAACCCAGUGCAAUCCGUUGCACUAUCGUUAACUGAAUACAUAGGUUAACGAGGCGAACCGGGGGAACUGAAACAUCUAAGUACCCCGAGGAAAAGAAAUCAACCGAGAUUCCCCCAGUAGCGGCGAGCGAACGGGGAGCAGCCCGGAGUCUGAAUCAGCUUGUGUGUUAGUGGAACGGUCUGGAAAGUCCGACGGUACAGGGUGAUAGUCCCGUACACGAAAGCACACUUGCUGUGAACUCGAAGAGUAGGGCGGGACACGUGGUAUCCUGUCUGAAUAUGGGGGGACCAUCCUCCAAGGCUAAAUACUCCUGACUGACCGAUAGUGAACCAGUACCGUGAGGGAAAGGCGAAAAGAACCCCGGCGAGGGGAGUGAAAAAGAACCUGAAACCGUGUACGUACAAGCAGUGGGAGCCUCUUUAUGGGGUGACUGCGUACCUUUUGUAUAAUGGGUCAGCGACUUAUAUUCUGUAGCAAGGUUAACCGUAUAGGGGAGCCGAAGGGAAACCGAGUCUUAACUGGGCGUUAAGUUGCAGGGUAUAGACCCGAAACCCGGUGAUCUAGCCAUGGGCAGGUUGAAGGUUGGGUAACACUAACUGGAGGACCGAACCGACUAAUGUUGAAAAAUUAGCGGAUGACCUGUGGCUGGGGGUGAAAGGCCAAUCAAACCGGGAGAUAGCUGGUUCUCCCCGAAAGCUAUUUAGGUAGCGCCUCGUGAACUCAUCUUCGGGGGUAGAGCACUGUUUCGGCUAGGGGGCCAUCCCGGCUUACCAACCCGAUGCAAACUACGAAUACCGAAGAAUGUUAUCACGGGAGACACACGGCGGGUGCUAACGUCCGUCGUGAAGAGGGAAACAACCCAGACCGCCAGCUAAGGUCCCAAAGUCAUGGUUAAGUGGGAAACGAUGUGGGAAGGCACAGACAGCCAGGAUGUUGGCUUAGAAGCAGCCAUCAUUUAAAGAAAGCGUAAUAGCUCACUGGUCGAGUCGGCCUGCGCGGAAGAUGUAACGGGGCUAAACCAUGCACCGAAGCUGCGGCAGCGACACUAUGUGUUGUUGGGUAGGGGAGCGUUCUGUAAGCCGUUGAAGGUGUGCUGUGAGGCAUGCUGGAGGUAUCAGAAGUGCGAAUGCUGACAUAAGUAACGAUAAAGCGGGUGAAAAGCCCGCUCGCCGGAAGACCAAGGGUUCCUGUCCAACGUUAAUCGGGGCAGGGUGAGUCGACCCCUAAGGCGAGGCCGAAAGGCGUAGUCGAUGGGAAACAGGUUAAUAUUCCUGUACUUGGUGUUACUGCGAAGGGGGGACGGAGAAGGCUAUGUCAGCCGGGCGACGGUUGUCCCGGUUUAAGCAUGUAGGCGGAGGUUCCAGGUAAAUCCGGUACCUU